rnacentral:rRNA from 1 species
UACGAAGGGGGCUAGCGUUGCUCGGAAUCACUGGGCGUAAAGCGCACGUAGGCGGAUUGCUAAGUCAGGGGUGAAAUCCUGGAGCUCAACUCCAGAACUGCCUUUGAUACUGGCGACCUUGAGUCCGGGAGAGGUGAGUGGAACUGCGAGUGUAGAGGUGAAAUUCGUAGAUAUUCGCAAGAACACCAGUGGCGAAGGCGGCUCACUGGACUGGUAUUGACGGCUGAUGUGCGAAAGCGUGGGGAGCAACAGGG